AGUGAACGCUGGCGGUAGGCCUAACACAUGCAAGUCGAACGGCAGCACGGUAAGAGCUUGCUCUUACGGGUGGCGAGUGGCGGACGGGUGAGGAAUACAUCGGAAUCUACUUUUUCGUGGGGGAUAACGUAGGGAAACUUACGCUAAUACCGCAUACGACCUACGGGUGAAAGCAGGGGAUCUUCGGACCUUGCGCGAUUGAAUGAGCCGAUGUCGGAUUAGCUAGUUGGCGGGGUAAAGGCCCACCAAGGCGACGAUCCGUAGCUGGUCUGAGAGGAUGAUCAGCCACACUGGAACUGAGACACGGUCCAGACUCCUACGGGAGGCAGCAGUGGGGAAUAUUGGACAAUGGGCGCAAGCCUGAUCCAGCCAUACCGCGUGGGUGAAGAAAGCCUUCGGGUUGUAAAGCCCUUUUGUUGGGAAAGAAAAGCAGCAGGUUAAUACCCCGCUGUUCUGACGGUACCCAAAGAAUAAGCACCGGCUAACUUCGU
rnacentral:rRNA from 1 species